rfam:Camelus ferus unplaced genomic scaffold scaffold334, whole genome shotgun sequence.
GAAGGUAGAGCUCAGUGGUGAAGUGUGUGCUUAGCAUGCAUGUGGUCCUGUGUUCAAUCCCCUGUACCUCCA